GAGUCGAAGCAAGAAAAUCCAAACAAUGAGCUUCCGAUUCUUUAGAUUCUUGAGAAUUGGAAUCAUGUCGCGUUGAUGAUGGUGUGAGGGUUGAAGGCUGGUGGAUGAAUGAAGAUGCUUUGUGGUGAAGAUUCAAGGUUGUUGAGUGGUGGUUGAUGAUGAUGGUCAAGAUAUGCGCAAAUGAUGAAUGGAGGUUAUAAGAAAAAUGGUGGAGAAUCGAGAGUGCUGAAGUGUGUGAAGUUUGGGAUGACGAUGAAUCGAGAGAAGUCGGGGAGCUUCAGAAUUCUAUCACGUGCGGAGGGGUGAAGGUUGCUGGUGAUGGUGAAGUGUGAAGAAUGAAGGAGAUGAGAAGAAGAUGAGAGUAAGAUGAUGAAGAAUGGUGGGUGUUUGAACUUUUAACUAUGCACUUCUUCUUUCAAUGUUUGCAAGCGAAACGAUGAGGAAGCUUGUGCUUGUGCCUUUUCUAGAUGUGUGAAGCUGCCUUUUUAUAUGAGCAAUGAUUGGGUUUCUUGGUGGUACAAACAAAUAUGGCAGUGCUGUAGAUAACCUGGAGCUGUGACUGAAAUACAAUGUGGAUGGAGGACCGAAACUUAUUGGCCAUGAUCAUGAGGUAUGGAAUACACACGGGACCGGCUUUCUUUGUGAAGUUGAGUUCUGUUAGGAGAAUGAAUUAGUUAUAGGUUUGCAAUUCUGUUAUUCUCUAUUAUUGAAGUUGAAGUUAAGCCGGAACUGUUAGUAAAACAGUUAGUAAUAGCUGAGGUUCUAUUAGCAAGUUAAUUGAAUGAUUAGGAGAAUUAGUUAUAUUCGGUUAGGUUGGCACGAAAGGUGGUUAAUUUUGGAACUUGUUUUGUAAUUGUUUUUGGUGGUUAGAGACCUAAUAUAUUGACUGGCAGCUUGGUAUGAUAUGUGCAGGUGUGGUUUAAUUUGUGUAUGAUGCUGAAAGUGGCAUAACGUGUUGUUUGGAUAUGAUUUACCAAUGUGUAGGAAUGCUGCAGGUUUACAGGGACUGAAAUGGUUUUAUCUGUUCGGUUUUGGUGAUUUUCUGAAUAGUUAUGGAUGCGAUGCCGUUAGUUCCCGUUGGUUAUGAAGUGCUGCAUGAAUUGAAGUGUUUGGAAGUUUGUCAGUAGGUUAUGUUUUGAUUUGAAUGGUAUGGUAAUGUAUUGUGGAAUUGUUUAUGGUUUGAAUUUGGUUUUCUCUGUGGGUUUGAUAUAUAUGUGCAGGGUCAUAUAGUGCAAGGAAUUAGCUAGGAGAUCAUGGAGAGGCUAUAAGCUUGAUUCAAAGAAUUUAGCAUGAGGGAACAUUGGCAAGUGAUGAAAUUGAAGUGGAAUGGUAGAAUAGAACUGUCAGUAGCUGGAUUAGUUUAAGAUUAGUGCAUUUGUGCGACUUGAAUUGUCAUGUAUGUAUUGAUUUUUAUGGUGGAACUUGGAUAUUGUAAGGAAUUGGAUUGGAUAUGAAAAUGUAACACUGUAACUAGGAAUUAAUUGAAUUAUGGACAUGGUUCAUGAAAUUGUAAUGAAACGGUUUGGCAAUGAAAUGGUUCUUCUUUUUGUAACUAUUUGACAUGAUGUGAUGAAGUGAUAAGAUUUCUUUAAAUUGCCUUUGAAUAUGUUCUUCCCUCCAUUCUUCUUUCUCUUUGAAUUCAAGAAUGCAUUCCCUCCUUUUUGCUCGAAAUUCAAGAAUUCUCUUUUGAUCUCCAACACCUUGAAUAGAUACCAACAAGUAUGAUAUGAUGGAACCGAACUGUUCAAAAUGAACUUGAGACAAAAAGGUCAACAUGUCAUAGUUGACUUUGACCUAAGGCCGAAGUUCUUAGCAAAUUGCUUCCAAAAGGCUUGCAUUAAGAUGAAACUUGGAACUUUCUUUUGCUCCUCAAAUGUAAACACAAAUCCUCUAACCACAAUCUGCCCUUGACUAAAUCCACUUGAGAUCUCCAUACUUCUAUUCAAAUCCUUGAAUUCAGAGCGAAUGACUCAUACCAUAAGUGAUAACCUGACCACUUUAAUGAAUAUAAUCCACAUGCUGAGUAAAAGUCUCCGACGAUCAUAAGGCCCAUGCCUCAAGACUUAUAUGAUAAUCCCAAGCAUAUAGAGUACCUCAAUCCAUGAUCAGUGAAAACCUCUGUUACACAAGCUUGCAUAGUGUAGAAACCCUGUACAUUGUGAAACCCUAGAUCCCAUGCUUUAGAUGUUUAUUUGAUGAAUGAGUGCAAGGUGUUAGAUGCCCUAAUGUAAGGUAUGUACAUGAAUGCAAAGUCUAAGCCAGUUAGAAAUAAAGGGGUAGGACAAAUUUGGGGUAUGACACUUCCGUAAACACCAUUUCGGAAGUUCAUUUCCGAAAUACUGCGCGUUUUGCAGAUUAAGCAAAACAGCCCCCUCCCCCUAAUCAUUUACCCUAAUCUUCUUCCAAACUCACACCCCAAGAGAUUUUUGUGCAAACCAGUUCCAAGCUACCUCAAAGGCUCCAACUACUUGCUCGAUUACAUUCAAAAGUCCUCAAAUCCAUUCAAUCGGUAAGCAUUUUGAUUUUAAGAUCUAUGAUUAAAAUGUAUAUUAGGGUGUUUACAAAUAGCAAAAAAUGUAUUAGGUUAGGUUUAUACUGAUAUUUAGGAUGUUUAGAAUGUGUAGACAUAGGUUUGAUGUUUGGUUUUGGGGUCUGCCAUGGGAGUUGCAGAAAACUCCAUCGCAGGGGUGUUUCGGAAGUUCAUUUCCGAAAACACCUCCAUCCCAGUUUUCGGAAAUGAACUUCCGAACUGUAUCAAAAUUUCAAUUAUUUUUGUUUCUUCUUUUGUCUCGCAUAUUAAUCGAUUUCAAUUGUUUACAGGAACAUGUCAGACAACCAACCAGCACGCAUCAGACAGGGGAGAGAGUCUCAGACUGCGUCGGCUAGACGCGAGCGGGCGGCGGCGCAGCUGGCGUCGACCCAGGGACGGGGGCAGGGCCGGGGACGCCGUGUGCGAGUUCCCGUGGACGUGGGAGAGGGUACAUCUGCUUCAGGAUCUAUGAGUCGGCUGGCUCGGGUAUCUUCUUCCCGCCAGCGAGAGGAGGAGGAGGAGGAGGAGGAGGUGCCAGUGCCAUAGCACGAGUCGGAGGGUGUACCGGAUGUUGACCCUCCAGCCGGGGAGGAGGAUGAGCAGGAGGAUGGCUAUCUGGGAGGGCCCUUUGACACUUCCAUGCUGAUUCACUACCACGAUCACGUCGCUCGGCGGAUCUGGGAGGGAGAGGAGAGAGAGCCGCUGAAAAUGGUCAACCACGCCCGCAAGAUUUUCGGUCUGUUUAAACCAGCAGCUGAGUGGUUUAACGACCAUGUGCGAGGUUCAGGGCUCAACGGGCUCUGCAUGACGGGGUACACCACGAUCAGCACCGGCAUGCAGGGGGCAUUUGUGGAGCGCUGGCACAAGGAGACGUCCUCUUUCCACUUGCCGGUUGGGGAGAUGACGAUCACCUUGCACGACGUGCAGUGUCUUCUCCACCUGCCGAUUAGGGGGCCGCUGUUGACCCACUCCAAGAUCCAGAGGGUGGAGGCCAUUGAGUGGAUGAUGCUCUACUUGGGCAUGGAGCACGAGGUUGCUCACUAUGAGUGCGUCACGACUUCUGGGCCUCAUGUCCGGUUCACCACACUGAGCACUUAUUUUGACCACCAUCUGGACGCGGCUGCCGAUGCUGAGGGUGAGGGUAACCAGCUGUUCACAGAGUAUCACCGCGGCUGCGCUCUCCGGUGCUGGUACAUGCAUGUGGUAGGCGCUGCAUGCUUUGUGGACAAGAGUGCCAGGUACGUCGAUGUGACCUACCUCCGCUACUUCAUGGACCUGGAUACCGUUCACCAGUGGAACUAGGGGGCAGCUACUCUGGCAUACCUCUACUAGAAGCUGAAUGAGGCCUCCAACUGGAGGACGAGGCAGUUGGUCGGAUCCUGCACACUGCUUACGAGCUGGAUCAUCUCCUACUUCUCCCGCAUCCACGGCUUUCACAUCGAUCCUGCGUACGUGGACGCCAUGCCCAGGGCCGCCAGAUACGCUCUCCAGAGGGGGAACGAUGCGGUGGGACCAUACCGUCUGUACUUGGACCGCACGAUGCACGACGACGUCACCUGGAGGCCGUUCGUCGACUACGCUCAGAUUGUCCCCUUUGACGGCAUUGCUCAAUAUUCAGGCUGGUUGGCAUGCGGGACCGACAUCAUGGUCCGGUAUCUCCCUGAGUGGUGCAUGCGUCAGUUCAGAUUCGUGCAGCGGAUACCCAGGUCACCCUUUGAGGCAGCUCCCGACACAGUGACCCGAGUGCAGCUCACUGCCAUAUGGGAGGACUGGCAGCAUCAUGUGGUACCGCAGGAGUACUGUCUCACUCGGGUCACACAGGACUGGCACAGUGAGGAGGGGUACGUCACAUGGUUCUACCGGGUGUCCCAUCCUCUACUGAGACCCGACGUUCCCGGCGCUCCUAGGCCAGCACAUGAGGAGAUCCUGGAGAACCAGCAGGCCGAGGAUGACCACGCCAUUGAUCUCCUGCCGAUCUGCCAGCGGAUAGAGAUGCUUGGGCGGGACGCCUUGGAUCGGGGUGUCGUUCUUCAGGGCGGUCCAGAUGCAGUCGCCGUGAUGGAGGCGAUCGUCACUGAUGCGGGCCGUGCGGCGGGGUACAGGCGGUAGAGGAGGGCUCAGGGUGAGAGGGUUAGGCACACCCAGUAGUG